UACAGAGGUCCCAAGCGUUACUGAGAAUCACUGGGUUUAAAGGGCGCGUAGGUGGUCCGUUAAGUCAGUUGUGAAAUCCCCGGGCUCAACUCGGGAACUGCUUCUGAUACUGGCGGACUUGAGUCCAGUAGGGGUCACUAGAACUGACGGUGGAGCGGUGAAAUGCGUAGAUAUCGUCAGGAAUGCCGGUGGUGAAGACGGGUGACUGGGCUGGUUCUGACACUGAGGCACGAAAGCGUGGGGAGCGAACGGG
rnacentral:rRNA from 1 species